UUUGUUUUGUAGCAUUUUGGCGUUGGCAACAUAAAUAUGUACAGCCCAGACGAGGUGGUAUAGCUCCCUUCUUUCAAAUGGUGGUCGGUUCUAUGUUUGUGUUUUAUGUAAUGAAUUAUAAAAAGCUACGUAAGUAUAA
rfam:Solenopsis invicta Si_gnG.contig06397, whole genome shotgun sequence.